rnacentral:rRNA from 1 species
CCCACCCCUCUUCUUCUUUGGCUGGCCCGCCCCUCUCCCUCUCCUCUCUCUUCCCCUCCUCUUCCCCUCUUCCGCCCCACCCCCGCGUCUCCGGCGAGGGCUCAGGCCGCGGCCCCGCCGACCCGCGCACCUUCCUUGCGAGAGCGCCUCCUCCACGGGAACAGCGGCCUCGCGGGAGCUCCCUUCUCCCCUCCCCAAGGUCUGCGGCGCCGGAUUGGCCUCAUCAGCUCGAAGAUCUCGAACUUGUUUCCAAGCAAGGAAGGAACCCUCGUCGCAAAUCUCGAUCUGUGGAUUGGUGGGCAGAAAGACUCGCCUUUUAUGGGGCAGCCCCGUGAGAAACCCGUGCCAUGAUUGGGGCGUCAGGGGAGGAGAGGCAGUGGUAGGAGGAGGUGCAGCAGGAGGCAGGAGAAAAAGAGCAGGCAAGGAUAGGCAGGACCAAGGACAAGGAGAGGAGGGAGCUCUCCAUGGGAGGAGAGCCCCUCCUCACCUCCCUCUCCAUGGAGAACAGCAACAGCCAUCCCUGCACCCUCCUCUCCAUGGACCCGGCGGGGUCGCACCCGGCCUCAGCCGAGUCAUCCGGCGGUGGCGGCGCCGUCAACGGGGUUGGCGCCAGUGCUGACAGGGAACUCUUCAUCAUUCCGCGGCACGAGUCUGUGCGUCAAGGCCCGCCGGACAUCAACGUCCCGCUGUCAGCAGACCCCUCCCCGCCGCCUGCAUUGUGGAGCCUUGACACGUUCGACAUUUUCGAUGUCGGCCUUGGCACGCACACCCAUGAGUCUGAGGUUGCGCUGACCCUUCCAAAGUCGAGCGGCAAUGGCAGUGCCGCAGUCGGCGUCGGCGCGAGGAAGUGCGCCAAGAGGGGGGACAGCAUUUGGGGAGCCUGGUUCUUCUUCAAUCACUACUUCAGGCCUGCACUCGUGGAGAAGGCAAAGGAGAAGGUGACGCGGGACGCAUCUGGGAGCAUCACCGGCUUUGACAAGUCCGAUCUCCGUCUUGAUGUCUUCCUGGUGCAGCAUGACAUGGAGAACCUGUACAUGUGGGUUUUUAAGGACCGGCCUGACAAUGCCCUUGGGAAGAUGCAGCUCCGGAGUUUCAUGAAUGGGCAUUCCAAGCACGGGGAGCCAUCUUUUCCGUUCAGUGCGGACAAGGGCUUUUCGAGGUCACACCGCAUGCAGCGAAAGCACUACCGUGGUCUGUCCAACCCACAGUGCCUUCAUGGGAUUGAGAUUGUGAACUCACCAAACUUGUCGGCAGUUCCUGAGGCUGACAUGAAGAGGUGGGCUGAGCUUACAGGAAGGGAGCUUAAUUUCUCAGUACCAUCUGAAGCGAGUGACUUUGAGUCAUGGAGAAAUCUUCCAAGCACUGAUUUUGAACUUGAUAGGCCACAGCCAGCAGCGUCAAAGACCGUCCCACAUACCUCUCAUAAUAAUAAUCACAAGAAGGCACUGAAUGGUUCAGGUCUGAAUCUAUCUACACCACCGUCAUCAGACGAUGGGAUGGACCUUUCACCAAAGUGCCACAAACGCCGCAAGGACUUCUUUGGUCAUGGCGUAGAAGAGGAUUGUGCAAUGGCCAAUAAUUCCUGUUCCGAGAGGGAGCAAGAGGUUGAAGUACACACCGGUGAGCCGUCAUGGAUGCAUGACUUCACUGGCGUGGCAAAGCACGCAAGUGGGCCUGUUACUGCUGCCAAGACGAUAUACGAGGAUGAUGAAGGCUACCUGAUAAUGGUGAGCAUGCUCUUAUCCGAUCCACACAGCGUGAAGGUCACCUGGAGGAACACGCUGACGCAUGGCGUCGUGAAGAUAACAUGUGUGAGCACCGCCCGCAUGCCCUUCAUCAAGAGGCACGACAGGACCUUCAAGCUGACCGACCCUUCCCCUGAGCACUGCUCUCCCGGCGAGUUUGUGAGGGAGAUACCUCUGGCCACAAGGAUCCCAGAGAACGCCAAGAUCGAAGCGUAUUACGACGAGACCGGCACUGGACUGGAGAUCAUGGUACCGAAGCACCGGGUCGGGCCAGAGGAGCAUGAAGUUCAGGUUUGCAUGAGGCCCCCGCAUCUUGGCGACAAUGAUCUCGUUUUAUCAUAAUAGAACAGGAAAAAAAACAUUUUAGCCUCUUACUAGGUCAUCCGGUGUCAUGCCAUGAGGCACCGGAGCAUAGCAGCAAAGCUAUCAUCAUGCCAUGGAUCAAAAAUCGGAAAUUUUCUUUCGGCACUGAACAUUAGUCGCACUUAUCUGUCUGUCUGUCUCCCUUAGGCGGAAAAUUACCUCUUCCUCCUCUGUUAAUUCCCCUCUGUACUUUCUUUCUAUACAGGUGCUACAUCACUACAUUGGUGGUGAUCCCCUUGACUAUUCCUUUCUGUGAAACAUGGCAAAGCUAAUAGUAGUAUAUAUUCUGUCCCUGUAUAUUCCGAGAAUUGGGUUCAUAAUAAUGUGGACAGCUACUACUCAUGAGCAGAGUCUGUCGAUAUCGCUGUUGUAAUCAUUGUCCUAGGCAUCUUAGCAUACUUGUAUGUGUCGUACUACAUAGGUAUGGCCUGGAUCGCUCUCGGCAUAAAUGGGAACUUAAGAUUCUGUUGCCUGAAUCUGUGCCCGCACCUUGGUUAUUCCUGCUGAUGACCAGGGCUCGGUUUUCGGCAGCGGUAAUACUGAAUCUCGCUGCUCCUGGCUCGCUCCAGCACGAAAUUCUCAGUUUCAUCCGUACUUGUGGGUGAUGCUGUGUGAGCAAAUAAGAAGAUAUUCUUACAUGUUUACAGUACAAAGGUAUAUUUGCUGAGACUUGAUAGAGGAUCUUUCUUGACUGACAUGUGGCUGAAUUAUUAGUGAUGAUCAGAGCUCAGUUUCCACAGCGGUAACAAAAUCUCGCUGUUUUGUGGCUCAACUCGGGAUGCAUUUCUCAGUUUAUCCUGACCUGUGGGUGAUCUCUGGGUUGAUGCUGUGUAGCCCCACAUUUGCAGUACAAGGAUACACAUCCCCCUUGACUAUUCCUUUCUUUGAAACAUGAUAAUAGCAGUAUAUAUUCUGCAUGUGCAUAUAUUCCGAGGAUUGGGUUCAUAAUAAUUUGGACAGCUGCUUCUCAUGAGCAGAGUCUGUCGAUAUCUCGCUGUUGUAGUCACUGCCCUAGGCAUCUCAGCAUACCUGUAUGUAUUGUGCAUUUGUGCUACUCCCUCUGUUUACUUUUAUAAGACCUUCAAGAUAUU